UGCUGAAGGGUCAGCUGGAGUAGGCA
rnacentral:misc_RNA from 1 species